rnacentral:rRNA from 1 species
AUACGGAGGAUCCGAGCGUUAUCCGGAUUUAUUGGGUUUAAAGGGUGCGCAGGCGGCCAUUUAAGUCAGCGGUUAAAUCGUGGGGCUCAACCCCAUUCUGCCGUUGAUACUGGGUGGCUUGAUUGCGGUCGAGGUUGGCGGAAUUCGUUGUGUAGCGGUGAAAUGCAUAGAUAUGACGAAGAACACCGACUGCGUAGGCAGCUGACCAGACCGCAAAUGACGCUCAUGCACGAAAGUGCGGGGAUCGAACAGGAUUAGAUACCCUGGUAGUCCGCACAGUAAACGAUGAAUACUUGUUUUCGGCGAUAUAAUGUCGGAGGCAAAGCGAAAGCGAUAAGUAUUCCACCUGGGGAGUACGCCGGCAACGGUGAAACUCAAAGGAAUUGGCGGGG